AGGAUGAUCAUGCUUACAACAUUCUUCUCUUUCAAUUUUUCUUUGUGUAUUGUUACAGUUUCUACUUAUCUAAUUUCUUCUCUAUUGUUGAUCUAUGGAAAUUCUAGCAUUAUCUUAAUUAAUGUCUAAUUCAUAGCAACUAGUACAUUGGGCUAACACUGUUGUUAAAGCUUUAUUUUAGAAUUGUGUUGGGUUCUAAAUCUGUCUUGUGCUCUUUGAUUCUAAUCUUUAAACUACUUCUUUCAUAUCAAGAUAAAAAUAUACAAAUAUAGCACUACUUAGCAAUAAAAAGAGCUUUUAAUAAAUGUAGUUCGAAAAGUUUUUUUAUUAAAAACUUAGUAAUCAUCAGUGGAAUUAUAGAGUUACAAAAACACAAAAAAUAGAAUAAAUUAAUAGAGUUUUUAAAAUAGUGCCAUGUGAUGGUGUGCAAGGCAAGAGUAAUAAGCUAAUAUAUUUAUUAAUACAUGAUAUAGUUCAAAAAUAAUAAUAAAAUAUUAAAUCUUUAAAUAACUAUAGAGAUUGUAGAAUAAUAUAGAGUGUUUCUUGAAUAAGAACUUUAAGUAUUAGAGCAAUAUUCAGCAACUGUUACCGAGGCAGGCAUCAUACAGUUGGGACAGUGUUACUAUGAUUGUCAUUAAUUACAUUAAAAUAUCUCAAUCUAUUUGAUAUUACCAGGGAUUUCAAAAUGAAUCCUUCCUUUAGAUAGUUGCAGUUUUUAAUAGUCCUAGCAUUUUUCUAAUCUGUUUUCAUAUUAAACUCAUAAUCUUUGUGGAGAGCAUAGUUGCAUUAUUAUCUAAACAUAUGUCUUUUUUAUGCCCAGUGAUACGAUCAUCUAAGUUUUCUGCUUGUCACAUCAAUAUACUCCUCUUAGCAAUCAAAAUCAUAGUUAUAUAUUGGGAUAUAAUAGGUCCCCAAUUUUUUCCUUUAAUUCAUACCUCUGCUUAUCAUCUGUCUAUUCUAAAGAGUUGGAUAUCUUGUUGCAAUUUUGUCAUUAAUCUUCUUUGCUAUGUUUCUUAUAAUGUUGAGGUUUGAGAUAUCAUGUGGAAAUUUGAUAGACUGCAUGUGUUCCUCAGAUGGGUACAUCUGAUGUUUUUAACUUGUUUACAUAGGAUCAGAGUUAAUCUUUCUUUUAACUUCAUCAUAAAUCUUUUUCAUAAAUUAUAGGUAUACCCAUGCUAUUUUUUUUUUGCAAUAAUAUUUCUAAAUUCAGCAUGUAGCUAGGAUUAAUCAAACAGUGAUUAAAUAUCCUACAAAAAACAGAACAGAAAAUAGCUUUUUUUUAAACUUCAUAGUAUCAUAAAAUCAAGUUAGUAUUAAAACAGAUUUGUAUAUUGCCUUUCUAAAGAAAGGCAACAUACAAACCUGUAUCAGAAUGAUUGCCUAUAUGUCAGUGGUGGCCAACUUUCGUGUCAUUACGAGCCAUAUAGGAAAUUUCAAAUAGUUGAGAGCCUCUUUCUGGGUCAGUGAGGCUCACAUCAAUUUUUUCGGGUAAUCUUAAUAGUGGUUUCAAAAAUUGUUUAUUAUAUAUUUUACAUGCAUUUAUUUCCUAUAUAGAUGCAUACUACUUUUU
rnacentral:lncRNA from 1 species